AUCUUUUAGCAACGGAUCUCUUGGCUCUCGUAUCGAUGAAGAACGCAGCGAAAUGCGAUAAGUAAUGUGAAUUGCAGAAUUCAGUGAAUCAUGGAAUCUUUGAACGCACCUUGCGCUCCUUGGUAUUCCGAGGAGCAUGCCUGUUUGAGUGUCAUUAAUAUAUAUAUCAAACUGCUCUUGUUGAGUGGUUUGGAUGUGGGGGUUUGCUGGACUCUUGAAGGGUUCAGCUCCCCUGAAAUGCAUUAGCAGAACAAACCUGUUCAUUGGUGUGAUAACUAUCUACGCUGUUGAAUGUGAGGGGCAGUUCAGCUUUCUAACAGUCCUUGGACAAUUCAUCAUUAAUGUGACCUCAAAUCAGGUAGGACUACCCGCUGAACUUAAGCAUAUCAAUAAGCGGAGGCU
rnacentral:misc_RNA from 1 species